rnacentral:rRNA from 1 species
UACAGAGGGUGCAAGCGUUGUUCGGAAUUAUUGGGCGUAAAGAGCUCGUAGGCGGCUUGUUGCGUCGGUUGUGAAAGCCCGGGGCUUAACCCCGGGUCUGCAGUCGAUACGGGCAGGCUAGAGUGUGGUAGGGGAGAUCGGAAUUCCUGGUGUAGCGGUGAAAUGCGCAGAUAUCAGGAGGAACACCGGUGGCGAAGGCGGAUCUCUGGGCCAUUACUGACGCUGAGGAGCGAAAGCGUGGGGAGCGAACAGG